rnacentral:rRNA from 2 species
UGAGGGAUAUUGGGCAAUGGGGGCAACCCUGACCCAGCGACGCCGCGUGAGGGAAGACGGUCUUCGGAUUGUAAACCUCUGUCUUUGGGGACGAAGAAGGACGGUACCCAAGGAGGAAGCUCCGGCUAACUACGUGCCAGCAGCCGCGGUAAUACGUAGGGAGCGAGCGUUGUCCGGAAUUACUGGGUGUAAAGGGAGCGUAGGCGGGAAGGCAAGUUGGAUGUGAAAACUGUGGGCUCAACCUACAGACUGCAUUCAAAACUGUUUUUCUUGAGUGAAGUAGAGGCAAGCGGAAUUCCUAGUGUAGCGGUGAAAUGCGUAGAUAUUAGGAGGAACACCAGUGGCGAAGGCGGCUUGCUGGGCUUUUACUGACGCUGAGGCUCGAAAGUGUGGGGAGCAAACAGG